CACAUCGAUCGACAUCUUUCCGCAUUUUACGCAUCUUUUGUCCGUCAUAAGUGAGCCUCGCGCGGAAACAAGUAUCGGGGAGCGUUGAGAAUAGCUACGUGCGAUCGUCAGGACAUAACGUGAGUACUAGGCAGUAAUAACAUACAGUUUCGCGUUACAUGCAGUCGGUGUUUGUCGCGACAUGCCGAAUCGAUCGUGAGUGUCUCUCACACUCGUUAUUGCUAUCGCCUCACUUAAAUAGCAGCAGAAUCGGGCGACCGUCGGAUUUAUUACUCGAGAAUUAAAAAUGCAUUGGUAAAUCAGAGGUGGUUAAAUAAUAUGACGUCAGAGAUAUAUACGGUGUCGAAUCUCGGGCGGUAACAUCGACUUUAGUAAGAGAGAGAGAGAGAGAGAGAGAGAGAGAGAGAGAUAUCCUAUAGAGCGCGCCUUUGUUGAACCGUGGUACUGUUCACGUUUUGGCGCCCGUCAUGCAUUGCGCGGCCGUCUUCGACCUUUUUGCAUAGAGCAACCGCCAUCGACACAUCAAUCGACAUCGCUCCGCAACUUUUGCCCAUCGAAAAUGAGUCUUACGCGAAAAUAAGUACUGAGAGUAUCGAAAAUAACGAUGUGCGAUUGUGAACAAAACGUGAGCACGUUAUUAUACAAUAAUCUCCUCGUUUCUGGCUAUGUACAGUCGGUGCUUGUCGCGACGUGUCGAGCUAGCGUUUCUCACACUUGUUAUUACUACCAUCUCACUCAAACAGCAUCGAGCGAUUGUCGAAUUUAUUAAUCGGGAAUUAGAAAUGCGAUGGAUUUAUUAAUCGGGAAUUAGGAAUCAGAGACAGAUAGAUAUAAUAUAACGCUAGAGAGUUAUGUAACUGGAAACGCGAUCGGCCGGAAAUUUUUCGUGAUUAUCGACCUAGUAAAUAUGUACUGAGUGAUGCGACAAUUUUCAGAUCGGACUACGGACGUCGACAUUUUGCGUAAUACCCCUAUAAUUCGCACGUUGCAACUGGCACGAGACGCCAGCGUUUCCGGUCGUCUGGAAAUUUGACACACUGCCUCAGAUUGGGCCGAUCGAAGCCGGGGAGUGAGAGGGAAUGGCGAUGUGCGCUCGUCAAGUGUACACACGUUGUGCACCGCAAUACACGACCGAGAUCUAAUGCGGACUUGCGACCACACCACGGAAGUAGUUGUCGUUUGCCGGUGGGUGCAGAUGCAGCAUCAGAGGAACUGGUUCGGGUAUAGCAGGAUCGGCUCGAAGAUUUACGUGGAGCUGACGUAGCCGAUCCUGACGAAGAAGUGUGCGACGCGUGAGAGAGCUACAAUAAACGAUAAGAAACGUAAACACGUCACCUCCCGUCGCCAACGGUCGUCGCUCAUCAAUUAGUUCGAGCAAUCACACAGUCAAAACAAACCGGGACCUUCAAGGCGGUUAAACCCACCUUUGUGUCUCGUGGACUUUCUCGAGUUUUUCCAUUCAGUCCCGAGCUGGCGAACAACGCGCGUAUCACGGUCUACGUAUAUCGGUGUGUUAUCUGUUAUCGCUGUGCGCGGUUUCAAAACAUUCGCGACUUCCAAGCGCUCGAAUUUACUUCAGUACCUCGCGGACUUCUCCGGAUAUGUCCACUCAGUUCCGGGCCGGUGAGCGACACGCUCGUUACGAUCUCCGUGUGUCGGUGUGCGCUACCUAUUGUUCCUUUCGGAUGAUUGGACUAUUUCGCCGGACUUUUUGAGAUACUUAAUUAGUCUUCCGUUAGCAUCGCGUGACUUAACUGACACGUAUCUUCGAUAGAAUCGUUUCUACGCGAGUGCCAGUGUCAAUGCCACAACGAAGUAGCCAGGAUGCUGGAUCGAGAAGCCAGGACGAAGGACGUCGCGACACCGGCAACGAUACAUCGUAUAUU